rnacentral:rRNA from 1 species
UUUAGAGUUUGAUCCCUGGCUCAGAACGAACGCUGGCGGCAUGCCUAACACAUGCAAGUCGAACGAGAAAGUCCUUCGGGAUGAGUAGAGUGGCGCACGGGUGAGUAACACGUAGGUGACCUGCCUUUUGGAGGGGGAUAACCAGAAGAAAUUCUGGCUAAUACCGCAUAAGUACAACGAACUUGAAAAUAGUUGUAGAAAGGAUGCCUCUGCUUGCAAGCAUUCACCGAAAGAUGGGCCUGCGGGACAUUAGCUUGAUGGUGGGGUAAUGGCCUACCAUGGCGACGAUGUCUAACUGGUCUGAGAGGAUGAUCAGUCACACUGGAACUGAGACACGGUCCAGACUCCCACGGGAGGCAGCAGUGGGGAAUAUUGCGCAAUGGGGGAAACCCUGACACAGCAAUGCCGCGUGAGUGAGGAAGGCCUUCGGGUUGUAAAGCUCUGUCAAAUGGGAAGAACGGCGUAGAGUCGAAUAGGCUUUGCGUUUGACGGACCAUAAAGAAGCACCGCA